rnacentral:rRNA from 1 species
GAUGAACGCUGGCGGCGUGCCUAAUACAUGCAAGUCGAGCGAACGGACGAGAAGCUUGCUUCUCUGAUGUUAGCGGCGGACGGGUGAGUAACACGUGGAUAACCUACCUAUAAGACUGGGAUAACUUCGGGAAACCGGAGCUAAUACCGGAUGAUAUUUUGAACCGCAUGGUUCAAAAGUGAAAGACGGUCUUGCUGUCACUUAUAGAUGGAUCCGCGCUGCAUUAGCUAGUUGGUAAGGUAACGGCUUACCAAGGCAACGAUGCAUAGCCGACCGUAGAGGGUGAUCGGCCACACUGGAACUUAGACACGGUCCAGACUACUACGGGAGGCAGCAGUAGGGAAUCUUCGGCAAUGGGCGAAAGCCUGACGGAGCAACGCCGCGUGAGUGAUGAAGGUCUUCGGAUCGUAAAACUCUGUUAUUAGGGAAGAACAUAUGUGUAAGUAACUGUGCACAUCUUGACGGUACCUAAUCAGAAAGCCACGGCUAACUACGUG